UAGAGUGGGGAUCACUGCCUCUUAUCCAUCGGAUCACUGUAGCCCCCUUCACCCCGCUCUCACCCUCAGAGAUGCGGCAGCCAACCUUGUGUCAUGUAAUGUAAGAUAUUUUAUGGUGUUCGCCAAAAGGAUUCAAGCGAGGGACCACAGAUACUCGCUGCUGUUUACUGGAACGAUGCAGCCACUGCACUGCUUGGGUCAAAAAGGAAAAACCAGGGUGAGAAACUGGGAGGGAACACAGCCCACCACCUGUCAGUGAUAUCAGAAUCAACAGGUGAACCCUCCACCCACGCACAUCUCAUCAGGAUGAAGGCUGGUGGGAGCAGGGAGCUGUCUAGAGAGAGACGGAGUUCACUGGUAAAGGAAAUACAAAAAUAUCAAAAGGAUGACCGAAACCACGGGCACGCACGCUGACGGUAACCAUCCUCUGCUCAGCUUUCUCUUCAUCCAGCAAACUUUAGAGAAGUGGAUAUUGUCUUAUUAAGAAUUACCGGUAAUAGCUGUGCCUAGCUUAUUGGCGAGAGAGUAUGAGUGCGCAACACCCUCAACCUCUGGGCGACCACUGAAUCACAAUUGCUGAGGUCACCUGGUGGGAG